CCCUCAGCAGAGGCGCGUUCCCAGGGUCGUCACGGAGCCGCCCCGCCCCCUCAGCAGAGGCGCGUUCCCAGGGUCGUCACGGAGCCGUCCCGCCCCCUCAGCAGAGGCUCAUUCCCAGGGUCGCGCUACGGCGCUGCUGGGGAAGCGGAAAGCUGCUUUGGGCUUUGCUGGCGGUGGAAGGACCAGAUGGCCUGGAGGGUGUAGGAUAGGGCUGGGGGCGUUAGGUAACCCGGGCUGGGGGCGUUCGGGGUGGGGCGGAAUGUGUAGCCAUAUACUGUGAGCUUCUGUAGGUGAGAGAGGGGAAGUGGAGCUUAACUUGAUCUUUUGGCUUGUGGAAAGUGGACAGGUGAGAAGUCCUCGAGAAACAUAGUAACAAAGACUUCUUAAAACGCAUUUUUUGGUGCCAGGAAUUGUUCUGAUUGCAUUACACACAUGAACUCAUUUCAUCCUUACUGUCAUGCCAUGAGGCAAGUACUAUUGUUAUCCCCAUUUUUACAGAUGAGGGAACUGAGCGCAGAGAGGUUAAACUUGUCCAAGAUGACAGUCAGCACAUGAUAGAGUCAGGAUUUGAACCUGGGUUGUGUGGUCCCAGAUUCCUCACUCUUGAUGGUAAGUAAGGGGGAUGAAGUGGGAAGGAACAGAGCCUGAGAUACUUCCUGGGAACAACAGGGAAAGACAGAAAAUAUUUACUGGGUAGAAUGUGGUCACUGUGCUGGGCACUUUUACCAACAUGAUGAGAAAGUCUCACAGUAACUCUGAAGGUAGGCAUUACCUUCCUUUUAGAAACAAAAAGCAGGCUCAAGGCUUUGAGUAAUUUUGCCUGCGAUCAAACAGCUGGCAGUAGGACCCAGGGCCCAGCCUGACUCCAGGGCUUCUGAUUUUAAGACAGGGGUGUGUGUGUGUGUGUGUGUGUGUGUGUGUGUGUGUGUGUUUCUGAGACAGGGUCUCGCUCUGUCACUCAGGCUCACUGCAGCCUCAACCUCCCAGGUCUAAGCAAUCCUCCCAUCUCAGCCUCCCAAGUAGCUGAGACUACAGGUGCAUGCCACCAUGCCAGGCUAAUUUCUAUAUUAUAUUUUUAUAAAUGGGAUUUUGCCACGUUGCCCAGUCUGGUCUUGAACCCCUGGGCUCAAGUGAUCCACCUGUGUUGGUCUACCAAAGUAUUGGAAUUACAGGUGUGAGUCACUGCACCCGGCCUCAGAACUGUUCUUUUUAAGCCCCCAAGGAGACAAGAAAAGCCCCAUCUUUCUCUACUACAACUCUUGUCACUUCACACCCAUUUAAAGGUGCCCAUUGCAUCAUCUAAUCCUUCAGUCCUUUUAUACAACAGUGUGUAUUAGUCUAAAUCAAUUAGUUCACCCAGGGCCUUCAGAGCUUUUUCUGGUUAUGAGAUGAAAGCCUUUGUCUCCCCUUAAAGCAAUUUUAAGCAUCAGUGAACAAGUGGGGGAACUAGAUUUUUGGUUUAUGCAUGCAGAAAGCUUUUCACAGCCUGCUGCUAUUCAUUUGUAAAGAGACCACUCUGCUGGCAUUUGUCAAAAUCCUGCAGUCCUUGCACACCUGGAGAAUCCUGGAUGAUCUGGGGAUGGCCACUGUCCACAGGCAAGAUCUGGGGAUGAAGGAAUUCUAGUCACUGGCUUUCAGCUGCCUUUCUGAGGCCUCUGUGGAGGGGCUGCCAGGUGUUGGUGUAGGCACCGACCAACAGGGUGUGCCUUAGGGUAGGAGGGGGAGGCUGGAGGCCUGAGGGCUGCAGGUGCAUCUUCCAGGAUAACAAGAAUGCUCUGGCCACUGAGGUCUGUUCUGUGUAUGCACAUGGGACGAAGGUGUGCCAGUCUAUUGCUGCUUUCAUGCAGAGUAAAUAAUAUCAACAGGAAUGAAUAAUAAUGAUCUUUGGGUAGAAGAAGGGGUUUUCAGACAAAGCACUAGCAGCUGGAGAUAGAAGAUGAAAUAAAAUAGAAUGUUAAUGUAGCAGGUUAAACACAAGCGAGGAAUUUCCUGACACUGUCUGACUGCGGUGGUUUGAGUAGGAGGCAGGUCGAGAGGCAUAGGUUAGAUUAUCCUGGAUCUAUCAGUCAAUAAAUAUAACAGAUACAAUCGAGAGAAUAAAAUUAUAUUGAUUGUAUCCUGAAAUGAUAAUGACACAAUUCAAGAAAGUUGCUUUCUUCUAAAAGAGCGUAAGAGUAGGAAAGGGAGGAGCACAUAGACGUUACUGGUAGUGGUCUAGCCCUUGGGGUGGAUGGUGGUUACAUGGGUGUUUAUUAUAUUUCAGUAAAAAAAACCUGACUUAAAUACUACAAUAAAAUCUUUUAUUGCAUAAAAUCUUUUAUCAAGUAGGUUACAUUGUUUUCUGCUAUUUUCUUGUACAAAUAAAAAUUGACUAUAUCCUUUCUCAUCAUUUCCUUUUUUCUACUGGAUAAUUCCCAUCAGCAUACAAACAUUUUCCUCUUCACCUUUGACCCAUUUCUCUGCUACCCUUUAUUGCAAAGUUCUUCAAAAAGAGUUGCCCACACCUGCCAUCUCUAAUUUCUCCCAAAUCUCUCUUGAAUCUACUUGAAACAGGCUUUCAUCCCCAUCAUUCCACUGAAAUGACUUGUGUCCGGGUCCCCAGUUACAUGCUGUUAAAUCCAACAUCAUCUCUCAGUCUCAGCUCAACCUAUCAGCAGCAUUUGACUCUGUUGAUAACUUUCAAAUAAUUGAAACACUUCCUUUCCUUGGAUUCUAGGAUGUCACACUCUUGGUUUUUCUCCUUCCUCAUUGGCUGUUCUUUCUUAGUCUCUUUUGCUUGUUCUUCCUCCUCUCCCUGACAUUUUGAUCUUGGAGUGCCCCAGGAUUUACACUUGGACUUCUCUAUCUAUAUGCACUCUCUUUUUGAUCUCAUCCAGUCUCAUGUUUUGGAUAUCAAAUUUAUGUCUUCAGCCCUAAUCCUUUUCUAAACACCACAAUAUAACAUCCAACUGUCUACUUUGCACCAUCGCAUGUCUAAUAGGCUUCUCAGGCUGAAUACCCCACUACUGCACUCCAAGAUUCCUCUCCAAACCAGCUCCUCCAGGCUUCCCUGCAGCAGCAAAUGACAACUGUAAAUUCCAGUUGCUCAGGCUAAAUAACCUUGGCAUUAUCCUGGACUUCUUCUUCUCCCACACCUUAAAUCCAAUCAGAGCAAAUGCUAUUGGCUCUAUUUCCAAAAGGCAUUCAGAAUUAGAGCACUUCUCUCCACUUCCAUCACCUUGGUCCAAGGAAAUCUCAUCUCUCACCUGGACCAUUACAGUGGCUUCCUAACCCAUCUCCUGUUUCUGCCCUUUCCCUCCUGUGGCCUGUUCUCAUCAAAGCUGCCUAAUCACUUUUUUGGAAACCUAAAACUGAUCAUGUCAUUCCUCUAUUUAGAACUCUCAGUGGCUCCCACCUUAUGCAAGUAAAAGUGGAAGUAACCCACAAGCCCUUAAACUCUCUGAACACAUCAUUUUCUCUUUUGUCCUUCUUCACUACCCUCCAGCCAGCUGGCCAUCUUGCUAUCCCUCAGAAAGGCCAGACUUCUCCCGCCUCAAGACUUACACUUGCGUUUCCUCUUCCUGGAACAUGAUUUCCUCAGAUAUCCACAUGGUUUACUCCUUAGCACCUUUGGUUUGUAUCCAAAUAUGACCUUCUGAGGGAGUUUUAUCUGACUCUUUUAAGUGGAACACCAGUAUCCCUUCCGAUGCCUCCCUUGCUUUACAAUCAUUACAUACUAUGUAUUUUUAAAUUUUUGUUUUAUUAAUUUCUCUAUAUUUCUUCACUGGAGGGCAUGGGGUUUUGUUUGUUUUAGUCACUGCUAUAUUUCUGGAGCUAGAACAGAACUAUGCACAUAAUGGGCACCAUAAAUAUUUGUUUACUGAAUUAAAUUCUCUUUUUUAUUCUCUCUUUCCGCCUUGCUUCCCCUAUCUUCCUUAUUCCAAGAGGCCCUUCUGAAAAAUUAUGUGUUCUUUCAGCUUUGCAUGUUCAGUGUCUUAGAGACUAAAGUUCUAUUUGACCAAAUAAUGACAGGUGUGGCACCAGAGAGUGGGAAUCCUGAUUGCCAUCUCUACUAUCUCAGCCUUAUAAUAAAUAUCAACUGUCUCAUACCAGCUAUGAGAUCAGAAAGUCACUCUCCCUAUCCCAUGUGGCUUAUACUGUGGCUCACUUUCCCCAGAUCUUCAGUAUGCCGUUUCAUAGGUGGAAACAAGAGCAACCCCGUCCCAGCUGCUGCUUGGAUCAUGAUGAGGCUGGGCUGAGCAGUGAUGGUGGUUAUGCCACAGUCGGGACCUUGGCUCAGGUCUCACCCACACAGAGAAGAUGAGCUUAUACAGGGCACGUACAACAUGGGGUGGAAAUGUUGGAGGCCGUCUUAGAGUCCUGUCUACCACAAUAUGCCUCUUUGUGAGAGAAAAUGAUAAGAAGGUCCAUCAUCUGUCUUCAGAGUUGGAACCAGUGAGGUGACAAGCACAGCCACUCAUUGUGGUUGUAGAUUCCCACCUCUUCCUGCGACCUCUGUAUGUAGUCUUUUUCCAGAAUUUAGGAGAGGAACACCUCCUAUAACUCAAUUAUGAAGAACAAACCACAAAAUUCCACAAAAAUGAAAAUGUCUACCCAAUCAAAGUCUACUUCUUUUUCUUUUUUUUUUUUUCUUUUUUUUCAAAGUCUACUUCUUUAAGGACUUGAGUGAUUGGGGGAAGAAAAGAGAAUAUUUACCACUGGGAGGUGGGGUGAGUUGUGUGGACAAGAUUCCUCCCUUCUUAACACCUGUGUCUUCUAUGGCUGCUCUGCUUCUCCUUAGUACUGCCCUGCCCCUUUUGCAUACAUUAGCAAAGGGUGGUUGCUCAGGGGUAGAUGUAGCCCCUUGGUCAUAUGACCUGACAAGUAGGGUAGGAGCUGAACUUCAGCCCACUCUCACCCUCAGAAAAUUGCUUGGUUUUCCUGCCUCCUGAGCCUUCUAUUUCUAUCACACACUAUUCAUCUUCUAAAUAUGCACAACACUCCCUUGCUCCCCACCAUCACCAAAGGAAAAAGAAAACCUCAGUCCUUGGUUUUCUCUCUUAUCUUCCCUUCAUGAGAAUUUCUAUCCUCCUAUCAAUGGAAGUUUUCCUGCUGGCUCUCUGUGUGGAUGACUCCAAUCUACACCUAAAGUCUCAACCUCCCUGCUCAACUCAGUCCCUUGUCCAAAUGUCCUGGACCUCAUUCAAACAAGCUCACAAUGGGCACAUUCUUUUCCCCAAGGCUGGCCCCAUAGUGCUGUCAUUGGGGACAUCCUCCUCCCUGUUAUUUCACUACAAACCUAAGAAUCACCCUUAGCCAUUCCCUUCUGCCUCUUCUCACACAGUCCAUCUGCUUCUCACCUGCAGGCCCCGUGCCUUUGUCUGUUUCUUGCCAGUCUCACUGCUCCACACUGAUCUAAGCCCUUAGUAUCUGACAUUCACCUUGUGUUUCAACGAUUUUCUGAUCAUGGUCUCCUCCGUUUCCUCUCCUACUAGUUCUCAACCUGGGGGUAGUUUUGCAACCCUAGGGUACAUUUGGCAAUACGUGAUGACAUUUUUUAUCAACACAACUGGGAGUGGGCUGCUGUUAGCAUAUAGAAGGUAGGGACCAGGGCUGUUGCUAAACAUCCUACAAAGGAGAGGACAGUGCCCCAAACAAAUAAUUAUUCUACUCCAAAUGUCAGUUGUGCUAUGACAAAGAAACUCUGACCUAUGCCAAUUCCUACAAGCUUCUUGAAUGUUACAGCCUUACUCUUCUUAAGAAAAUGCACUGUGUACAUAUUGCCUCCUCACUGGAAAAAAAAAAUAUUUCCCAUUUCCUAUAUCCACAUGUCUACUUCUGCUUAAGAUGAUCUCCCCCUUCCUUUUCUACGCUGGUGUGUCCUCCCUUUCUCUUAAGGCCCAUAGCAAGCUCUCUGGCCUGUGUGCUGGGCUAGUCUCCAUUUGUCUUGCUAGGUCCACUCUCUAGUCUCCCUUCUCUAGCCUGGUGUCUGCACCAGAAUUGUAUCCCCUGGGCUUCCUUGCUCUCUAGUAGCUGGUUGGAUUUGGCCUUUUGGCGGUAUCAGCAGGUGAUUAUACAUUGGGUAUGUAUUUCCCAGCUCCCAAACUGAGCUUCUUGCUUUGCCUCCAUAGCCUCAGCUACUGUCUAGCACUCUGUCUUCCAUGGAACCAGUUCUCAUGUGGCUCCAAUAACAUCAUUCCCUCCCUUGCCUUGUGGGUAACGGCUUCCCACAAUUGCUAGUCCCUAAGUCCACCACUAUGAUUGGUUCACUCAACUCUGCCAAUUCUCUGGUAAAUAUUUCCAUAGUCAAACUCUUUUGAGUAUGCCAUCUGCUUCCUGCCAGAUCCUCAAUGAUGCUCAGUCACUUAAGAAUUCUCUCUUCUCUUGGCUCUCAUACAAAACUUACAGUUGGGACCACUCCUCUCUCAUUCAGCAUGUAUACCUUGAUACUGCUGUGAUCCACUUACAUCUAGUAUUUUCAUGGUUUCUAACCAUGUUGCAAACUCCUGUAGGUCAGGGCUAUCUAAUACAACAUUUCCACUCUCCUCACAUAGUGUCUGCUCAAUCAAUGUUUACCAAUGAAAAUUAUAAUUAAAAUAUGUUGGAAAAUUACAUUAUUUUAUAAACAAAGUGACUUUACAUGAUUUAUUUUCUUUUGUACCACAGUUAUUUGAGGUGAUUCUUUUUCUUCUCAUGUCAGAUGGGUAAUGUGACAUGAGAAGAAAAAGUUAUAACAAGGUUUGAGGAUGUCACAUCUCAUACACGUAUGUGAACACCCAAUCAGCACGCUUAAAACUACAAGAGGAAUGAAGUGAUUUUGAACACAGUAACUUUUCCAUGACAUUUGUAAACCGGCAUGUGCUUUGGGACUUGAGUUCCGCUGCUCCAAUGCUCUGUUUUGCUUACUUCCUGGUUCUUGAUGGCAUGCUGUGUAUUUGUGGCGGCUGCAUAAGGAACUCUGAGUAAAACUGGUAAUUUCUCUACUGGCUUCCUUCAUUGAAACCAGUAUUCUCUCCCUUCAAAGCCCCUUGCUGCGUUAUGCUAUACCUAGUCUGCAGGGAGCAGAUAUUCCAUGUGCUUCCUAUGUCUAAAGGCUGCUGCUGCACCAUGCCCAAACAUGUGCUUCGUAAUGCCUUUCUGUCCCAUGAUUCACUUCAAUGAGUUUUUAUUUAAAUAUUUAAUGAUGUAAAAAGUGGUGUAAGUGCCCCCUUAGGGAAUCUUGGUAAAGUACAGGGAUGUAAUCAAAUGGUUUGCAAAUUGUUCUUAUUUCUUUAUAACUCUAAUUUUAAAAGGACCAGAGUUAUAAAAGGGAUGUUCACAUUUCACAGAAAUGUUAUCCUAAGGAAUGAGGGACAAUUAUUCCUAGGAAAAGGGGGCAAUGCCAGAUCAUUUCCUAGAGUUAUUGUGCCUUAUCCAUCAGUGUUGUAACAGUUUUUGUGGGAGUGAUUUGAAAAGCUUUUCCUUUUGCUCUCUGCAAAGAUGUCUCUGUCUGCUUAAUUCUGCUGUGAGGGUCUCAGUUUAACCUCAUGGCUCUGGUUAUUUUCAUGCCAAAAUGUACACCCAAAAUCUGUUUGCUCUUUACCAGAAUGAUGAAGACGAUGAUUAGAGAGGAAUAGUAGGCAUUCUGGUUCACAAUCCGCCUUGAUAAUUUCAUGGAAGGGCUUGGAAAAUAUGAAGCUGAAAUAGAGGCUAAGUGCCCAGGGCCAUGCUGUGAUUUUUGUGGGCAGUAGGAACUUUUGCCUUUUUGGACCCCUUCCUCCAUUAAAAAUAUGAAAAAUUUAUAUUUUAUGACUGUGUUGGCAUAAUGGUAAAUACAUGAAUAUAAUAUGUUAAAACAUUUUUUAUACCCCAACAGUAUUUUGGUCCUUAGGUACUGUGUCUCCUGUGCCUAAUGAAUGAGUUGGCCCUGUUUGUGAGCAAUGGGAAAAGAAUGUAUCUUAACUCCUUUUUUAGGGUUCAAAGAUACAAGGUUCCAGUCUGUUCGGAAUGAUGGCUGAGUUGGGAGGUUAUAAUCAAAAAUAAGGCAAAUUCCUGUUCUUCCUCUGAGCGGCUUUGGAGGGCUUUGAAGGAGUGGGCAUCUGUGGACCACAAAGCUUGGCCACUUCCCAGAUAUGGGCUGCUCUUCACCUUGUCCUAGAGUGACAUCACCUUCUCCAUAGGUGACAGAUAGUGUGAUAGUCUCUACUCUGGGAGGGUCCAGGGUGACUGUCUCCAUCCCUUAGAUGGAGAGCCUCAAGCAUGGUGAGAUGAGCCUGGGUAGCUUACUCUUCUUCCUCUGAAUCAGAUUCUAAUGCCUUGCUGCUUCCUUGGCAGCAAGAAGGAAACAUCUUUAAAAUGUUUUUUUUUUUCCUGACAAUAAAAGUGAUACUAGUUUAUUAUGAAAUUUUUAAAAAUAUAAGAAUUUGAGAGAUUUUUUAAAAAAGAACAACUCCUUUGAUCCUGCCUCCCAGAGCCAACCACUGCUAACUGCUUCAUGAGGUUGUAUAAAUGGGUACACCAUACCACAGGUGGGACAGCACUAUUUAAGCUUCCGGGAGCCAGCCAGAAGUACCUGUCAUUGCUGCUAUUUCUGAUGUCUCUCUCAACUGUAAAAUGGCUGGAUUUUAUAAUAUUCUCCCUUCAAAUCCCUACAAGCUACAAUGUUAGCUGGAAAAAGCAGAUUGCAAAAUUUUUAUACAGUGAGAUACAAGUAUGGAGAAACAUGCAUAAAAAAUUGAGGAAGGUAAUAGGUAAUUGUAUCAACAGUGGUAUUAGCUGUCCCUCAGCCAUGAGAGCUCCUAUGUGGGUGAGGAACAGCUUUUUUGGGGGAUGGUAGCUUUUCAGCGCCACGUAACAUCCCCCAGAAGACAAUUUCCUCAUUUUCCUUUGAAUAAAAUUGCUCCUGUUUGCACUCCUCAGAAGAGGGCAAAAGGAACUGUGAUCUCUCCAUGCCUGAACUUCAGACCUUUGGAGGUCGUUGUCCUCUUUCAUUUCCUCUUCCUUGUGCCCACCCAUGAAACAGCAGUUUCUUCAGGCUUCUAUUUGUGUUCGAGGCUGGCAGUGGGUUUUCCCAGACAUCUUCCUGGGAACAUCAAUCUAUUCUCUACAUAAAAGCAAAGAUACAAUUAAAGCUACACGUCAGAGAGCAAUGAAAGGAACUAACAACUCCACAUUACCAUGGAGAGGAUGCUACUGAAUAAGGUCAGUUUCUGCUAGAAGACACUUCUUACUGUUGCCACAAAUGCAGAAAAGCAGCUCCUGGUGCCUAUGCAGCCAAUCAAGCCUAGCUUAUCUGAGAGACACAGGCAUCUGCAGACAAAAGUAUUUUGUUUUCCUCAGUGGCUUGAUCCAGUGUUUUACCAUGUUUCCCUUAGCUCUUACCUAAUCUUGCCUACUUAAGUCAUCAUUGCAUGUCUAUUUUUCCUGAUGAAGACAAGACAGAGAACAUUGGCUUGUGCAUCCUGACACAAUAACCUUUGAAGCUUGAUGCUGGGUUUUCUUCUAAAGUGUCUAUAUCAUACCCUGAAUAUUAGAAUACCACCAGAUUAAGGAACUUUGAGUCUAGAUGGUACAUUCAAUAAUUUAAUUCAACACUAUUUGUUUGAGCAUACUGUGUGCUCAGCAGGAAAGAAAUAGUCAAGGGGAACACAGUCUGCACCAGAAGUCAUUAGCAUGUGCUACAUCAGAUGCUGGGCGCCAAGAUCCCAAGUCCUCUUUUGGUUUUCAAAGUGAGCUUUGAAGUCAGAUAAACUUGGGUCUAAUUCAUUUUUUGCCACUUCCUUCUUCUGUUACCUAGGCUAAGCUACUCAACUUGCAUGAGUCUCAGUUUUGCUACCCACAAAGUGGGGACAAUAAUACCUAUUUCACACGUUGUAGAAUAAGUGAAAUUAUUUAAGCAAAGCACAAUUCCUAAAGUGUAAGUUACUCUGUAAAUGUUGCUUCUUCCUUGAGGUUUUAUGAUGAUUUGGUGAUGGGGACAUCAGAGAUAUUGAGUAUCAUACAAAAUUAGUUUUUAAUUUGAAAAUGUAAAUUUGUACAUGUAUUGUCUACUUUGUGGAUUAACUACAAAUCCAAAUGGGCUUCCCACAAACUCAGGUUAUAACUUAUCAUUUAAUAUGCCAGCAUUCAUUUGUUUAUCCAACUAAUAUUUAAAUAUCUUUUAUGACACAGUCAAUGUAUGUGUGGGGAAUAAAUGCUGCCUUUAAUAUAAGCUUAGUCCAGACAUAAUCAGGAAAGGAAAUCUGCCAUAAAGAAAAUCCUGUAUGGAAGGCAUUUUUGGGACAGUGGAGCAUAGGUUCAGAAAAGCACAGCUACCAGCAGAGACACUCCUCAAAUGCUCGCAGAAAAGAAUGCUAACAAAUGCCUGACUGCAGAAGAAUCUUGGGAGCCUGGACUUGCCUCUCACUCUUGAAUUGCAUUUAUUCUGGGAACUAAGCUGAGUGCUGUGUCAAUCUGCUAUGACGGAGGCAGAAUUAUAAAUAGAAUAUGUGCUAGAAAUAGAAAAUAAGGUAAAAGAUGGCAUUUUUGGGCUUUCACAGCUUCCCUCGCCCAUCUCCUUCAGCAGAGGGAGAAAAGUCAUCCAGUUUUGGUGAAGGCAUAAAAUUCAGAAGCCAUCAUUCCAAGAGUAGUGGAAGGGAGGGGGGAACUAGAAAGUAUGAAAGUGGUGAAAAGUAUAGAACUGGGAAGAGUUGAGUGAUAUGUGAACAGAAGGGUGGGAGGGUAAAUUGGCCUCCUGGGCAGAUGAGAGAAAAUCAGAGAGAAGAACCCAGGGCUAGGACACAAAAUGAAGAUUUACCCAGCUGGAGAGAAACUUGAAAUAGCAAGAUAGUAAUAACACAUGGCCAGACAGGGAUUGGGUUGGAAAAAAGCUUAAGCCCUAAAAAUGGAAUUAGGUGGGAAGGCUAAUAUGACUGUGACAUAAAAGACCCAGGCCUGAUCAGUAGCAUUUCCAGGUAGCUCCAUUUACCCUUUUCCCCAAAGCAGACCUUGACCUUCAGCUUUCAAGGUCAAUAUCUUCAAAGGUAUUUUUGAAUCUGUAAUGAGGUGUCAUUCCAUCAGGUAUGGGGAAGGGUGUUCUAGCUAUGGUUGAGGAAAGCUUAGUGGGAAAAAGUCUUGAAGUCAGAGGUGGGUUCUGGUCCUAGCAUUGCCAUCAGCUAGACAUGUGACCUCAAAUAAGUCACCUGACUAGCCUCUGUGAGCUGGUUUUGGAUAUCAUCUCUACCAUGAACUACCUGUUUGAUUUUGAUCUAUUUACUUCCCUUAUCUUUGAGCUGUCAUAGCUUUCUUUCCUUCAGCAGAGGAAGAAAAACCAUCCAUCCAGUUUUGGUGGAGGCAAGAAAUUCAGGAACCAUCAUCCCAAGGGGUACCAACUUUGGAUUUGUGCUGCUUGAGUGGGGGAGCUCCCACAGUGUCUGUUCAUACAAGAGGGCUUUUAGCAGCUACUCACCCAGAAUAAUUUGGGAAGAAGUCCUAUAGAUGCCAUAAAAUGGAGGUUUCUCCAGGAAUCCUCAGGAGAAAUGUUAUAACAGCACUCUGCUAAGGAUAUGAGAUGCACCUAGUUAUUCUGUAAGUAGAAGGUAUGGAAUUGCAGGUAUGGUUCUGCUUUUUGCCCCAAAGUGAUCAAAGUUUUGCAGCCCAAACAAGUUGCAGUUCAGAGAACACGCAAGUACAUUAAUGUUCAAAAGUAUAGUAUGAAGUGGUACUGCCCAAAUUCAUUAAUCAGGAAGAGCCACGUGGUAUAUAUAGGAACUUGCAUUCUUUUAUCUUACAAAUUACAUUAUCAAUUCACCUUGAUGCAAUAAUGUGUCCUCCCAUUGAUCCUUGAGCUUUACUAAGGUAGUUUCUUUGGCCAGAGUUCCUUUGAGGUCGCUAUAAAUGGAAUCCAACCUACCUAUGGAGAUGCUAUGGCUUCUGCUCUGUUUUCUUCUCAUCUAUUUCUCAGCCCUGAAGGAACUAGUAUGCAAAAUCCCAUCCCCACUAGAGAGAUAAUGUUGAACCUUAUCAGCCUUUAUGACUUUAUCUAGUAAGAUACUUCUCAAAUAGCUCAGAUAAUCUGUCCCAAUGUAUUCCUGAUUUUGCCCAAUCAAAUACACUUCUGACAAUAUAUAUAAAUUUAGACACUGGGCCAGUGGGUCACACUGUCUGGGAGGCAUCAGUAUUGGAGGCUAGGAGUCCUGGCCAGGGGAAACAGGAGACUUGCUGUUUUAUUAAGGAUUGUAUACAGCACACUUAUAUCUGGGAAUGAAUGUGGGUCUUGGUCAGAAACCAUCUUUGUGGGAAACCGAGGGCAUUUCCAGUAUGCAGUGUCCUCUCUGCUGGGGUAUUUUGUCACAGUGACAAAGUGUGGUGUUUUGCGAAGCUGAUCAACUACCAUCACCUCUUAGAAGGAGGUAAAUCCAUUAUAAAGAUUGAUUGAUAGCAGGGUCAGACUGACUAUGGCUUGCAAUUGGAGCCCUGUUUGGGUUAAGGUCUUGCUCCCUAACUCAAACAGAAGUGCAGCCCUGGACAGGUAGCAUUAGCAUCAUCUGAAAGUUUGUGAAAAAGCAGUCAAAGGCUUCAUGCCAAUCCUGCUGGAUCCAAACUCCAUUUGACAAGAUUCCCAGGCAAUUUGUAUGCCCAUUAAAGUUUAAGAGGCCCUGGGUUAGGGUGCUUCUUUUGAAAAGAAUGUAAAUAUCUCUUCUAGAGGCCAGUCAUUUAUAUUGUAAUAAGACAGCUUAAUCAGAAUACUUCUCAUUUUUCCCUUAGCUAAAAUACACCAGAAUGGGAAUUUUUGUUGCAAGGAACAGAGUAUCACCAAACUCCCAACUUCUGACCACUACUGUAACUUCAGCUUUUACCAUGGGGAUCUAGCAAGUAGUAGGAUCAACUCUUAUUUUGCCAUUUGGCUGAAUAACUGAUUUGCCAUCAGAAAAAAUGUUUUGCUCAGGUGUGGUGGGCAGAAUAACAGGUCACCAAAUGUCCAUGUCCUAAUCCCUAGAAUCUGUGAAUGUUACCUUACAUGACAAAGGGGAGUAGAGGUUGCAGAAAAAAAUUAAGGUGGCCAAGCUGCUGAUUUUAAGAUAGAGAGAUUGUCCUGGACAAUCUAUCCAGGUGGGCCCCAUAUAAUCACAAGAGGCCUGAAAAGUGGAAGAGGGAGGCAGAAGAAAAGGUCAGAGUUAGAGUAGGAGAUGUGAGAAGGACUAGCCCUGCCCUUGCUAGCUUUGAAGACAGGAGAGCCAUGAGUUGAGAAACGUGGGCGAUCUCUAGAAGCUGGAGAAGGCAAUGAAACUCCCCUAGAGCCCUCAGAAAAGAACACAGUCCUACCAACACUUUGAUUUUUGCCCAAUAAGACAUGUGGUAGAUUUCUUACCUACAGAACUGUAUGACAAUACAUUUAUGUUUUAAGCUAUUAAGUGUAUAAUAAUUUGUUAGGGCAACAAUAGAAAACCCAUAAUGCAGGAAACAGUUCAUUUGUUUUGAAUAUGAAAAACAGACAAAAUGCUAGAAUUAUAUCUAGUUUUUUCCUUGUUUAUAUCUUUUGGAAUUCAGAUGCACAUGUUUGAGGUAAUCCUCCUUCUCAAUUUGUGGAAUAUUAUCACCUAUUCAUAGAAGAACUAACCUUUCUCUGAAAACAUGUUUUAAAGGUUUAUUGUUUUUUCUCCUUCAUCUAUCAUUCCUAAUCCCACUGCCCUCCUCCCAUAGGCAUCCACUCUAAUACAUUUAAUGUAAUUCUUCCAAUCCAUCCAACAUAUGUUUAUUUAGGUACAUGAGUGCCCCUACAAAAAUAUACAAGGCUGCUUUAUGUGUGUGUUUGAUACAUGAAUGGAAUUGUGCAAUAAAUCCCAUUCUGUUUUUGCUUUUUUCCUCUGAACUCAAUUUCUGAGAUCAAUCCAGGUUUCUAAAUUAAAACAUAAUUCAUUAUCCUAUUGUAUACACAUACUACAUCUUACCUGUACAUUCCUUAGAGAUGGACACUUAGGUCACCUCCAGCAGGGUGGUAGUGAAGCUUGUUAGGAACAUCUUGUGUUCCCAGGGAAGAAUUUCCCCAGAUGUAUACCCAGGAGUGGGUUUGGUGGAUUCAAGGUGCACAAUUGUCCUUCAGAAUGGCUGCACCUGCAGUGGGUGAGGAUUCUCUUUCCCCACCUUUUUUGCCAAUGCUUGGUAAUAUCUGACUUAAAAAGUGAUAUGCAAUGGCAACAACUACCUAUGAAAGGAAGUGCUACAUAAGUGACUUAGUAGAAAUCAUGUCAUAAAUGCAGAAUGAGCAGGGAAAAGUUUAAAAAUAAUUCUUAGAGGAAGAGAGUCUUACAAGCAGGACAGAUGUGGCUGGGAAGAGGAAAGCCCUCCAGGCAAAAAGGAUGUAUGUGUGGCUCACCAUUGAGUGGUCUUUAUCACCACUGAGAUCACCCUUCUUCUGACUACAGCUAUAUGGAACUGUCUAGUCUAUUUCCAGCCUGAGAUUUUUGCCUAACUUCCCUGGGCACAUGAGGAGCUCUCUUGACUCAGCUUCCAACUCCUUCUCUGCUUUAACUUCCUCUUUGCCACUUUACAAAUUUGUGUGAUUUAAUGACUUUUAACAGAUGCAUACCCCUGGGAAACCACCAUUAUUAACACGUGAAACAUUUCCAUCAUUCCAAAAAGUUCCCUUGUAUAUGUUUGCAGUUCAUCUUGCCUCCUGCACUUAGCAUCACAUAACUACUGAUUUGCUUUCUGUUACUUCAGAGAAGUUUAUAUUUUCCAGAAUUUUAUAUAAAUGGAAUUGUUUAGUAUGUACUCUUUUGUGUCUGGCUUUUUCUACUCAGCAUAAUUAUUUUGAGAUCUAUUCAUUUUAUUGGCAUAUCAAUAAUUCAUUUAUUUUUAUUGCUGAAUAGUAUUCCAUUGCAUGAAUAUAUGGCAUUUUGUUUAUCUUGUUGAGGGAUGUUUUGGGCUAUUAUUAAAGCUUCUAUGGAUAUUCAUGUAUAAGCUUUUGUGUGGACAUAUGUUUUUAUUUUCUUAGAUAAAUACUUAGGAGUUCAAUGUCUGGGUCAUAUGACAGGUGUAUGUUUAACAUUGCAAGAAACUACCAGCUGGGUGUGGUGGCUCAUGCCUUUAAUCCCAGCCCUUUGGGAGGAUGAGACAGGUGGAUCACCUGAGAUGAGGAGUUCUAGAACACCCUGGCCAACAUGGCAAAACCCUGUCUUUACUAGCCAUACCCUUUUUCAAAGUGAUCAUUCCAUUUUACAUUCUCAACAGCAUUGUAGGAGAAUUCCAGUGGCUUCCACAUUCGUGUCAAGGGUUGGUAUGGUCAGUCUUUUAAAUUUCUUGCCAUUUUAGUGACUGUGCAUUGGUAUUUCUUUGUGGUUUAUUUGCAUGAUGAUUAAUGCUCAACAUCAACUAAUCAUGUUGAGCAUUUUUAAUGUUCUUAUUUGCCAUUCAUAUAUCUUCUUUGGUGAAGUUUCUCUUCAAAUAUUUUGCCCGUUUUAAAAUUGUGUUGUGUUCUUAUUAUUGAAUUGUAAGAAUUCUUUCUAUUCAGAUAUAAAUCCUUUGCCAGAUAUGUGUAUUACAAAUGUUUUAAGCAGCUGGGAAUGCAGGUGUGCACCACUACUCCAGGCUUUCUUGUUUUUUUUUUUUUUUUUUUUUUUUAAUGUAGAGACAGGGUUUUGCCAUGCUGCCAAGGCUGCUCCCAAACUCCUGGGCUCAAGCAAUCCUCCUGCCUCAGCCUCCCGAAGUGCUGACAUUAGAAGUACGAGCCACUGUUUCUGCCUAACUUUUCAUCUUUUAAAGUAGUAUCUUGCAAAGAACAACAUUUAAAAAUUUUAAUGAAGUCAAAUUUAUCAACUUUUUGAUUCAUUAUCCAUGCUUUUUGCAUAGUAAGAAGUCUUUCCCUACCUCAAAAUUGCAAAGCUUUUCUACUAUGUUACCUUCUAGAAAUACUAUUAGAUUUUUACAUCACUUGUGCUUAUUCUUAACUUCCUCAUUUGGUGUCUUGGAUCCUUGGGUCCAUGGAGCGAUUCUGGAAGGGUUAGUAAUAUGUCUUUUUGCUUGCAAUGGGAGCAAACUUUAGGACCUAACUGAAGACCUUUGAUUACAUGAUCAGCCAUUUGGGCUUGCAAUUACAUAAACAUAACGAAGAAAAUUUCAGUAGGAGAGUUCUCUCCUACUUAGGUACUGUAAUAGAGAAUAUGACUAGUUGUCCUUUUGGGAACCUAAAUUGAAUCUAUAUCCCUCUGAAUAAAAGUGGGUGGGAUGCAAGGAGCUGAUUUGGAAGAUGUUCUUGCUGAAAUACCUGGGGAGAAAAGGGGGCCCAGGAGGGAACAAUGUGUCUGUCCUGGAUAUUCAUGAUGAGCCCAAUUCUAGCAAGUCAAGCAGAAGCUGAAGGAUGUGAUUUCAUAACUGAUGUGAGACAGAAGAGUACAGAGGCACUGCAUUGGCACCUGGGAGGAAAGUGUCUUAAGGGGGAGGAAGAAGACACUUUUCCCCACUUCAAGUAGACUCAGCAUGGUUUUAGCCAGAAAACACCCUGGGAAGUCUAGGGCCACUUUGGCAUUGUGGGAGUUUGCAGCUCUGUUUCUUCCAAGAGCACAGAUAUUAAUGUAGCACAGAUAUUAAUAUUAAUAUUAAUUAGCACAGAUAUUAAUGUCAUCACAGAAAGCAAAAGAGAUGAAAAAAAGACAGGUUAUUCAGUGCAGGAGAGAUUCCCUUUGGGAUUUCUCAAAAAUGCAGAAGCAGAGGCUGUAGCCCAAGCUUGGAAUAUUGCCAGGAGCAAGGCAGAAAAUGAGGCUUGGGUAAGCUGAAGGUAUACUUACAAUGGAAAUGACUGGCCCAAAGGAGUGAUACAGAUUACAUAGAAGAGGGACAGGCAAAUGGAGUAGGCAAGACAUGUUCUCUGAGUGUUGCAGCCACCGAAAAGCCAAGGUACAAAGGCAGGGAGUUAUCUGAAUUGCCUUCCUGGAGGGUCACGCAUUUAGGAUCUGACUCACUGAUUCUUUUCCUUAAUUUUGCUCUGUAGGUUUCUCUAAGAGGGCUAAUCUGUGUCAAGGUUUGAUAAUAUCUGAAAAAGCAUUCUGGUGCCAAAGUAUCAUCUCACAAAUUAUUUAGAAAUUGCAAAGAGACAGUGUACUUUAUAAUCCAGAUAUCUGGCAGUUAACCACAUGAUCAAAUUUAGCAUCACUAACAGUAGGACAACUAGAUAUUAUAUAGCUCUUGCUGUGAUAGAUUAUGAAGUACACAACAUCAACUAUGAAGUAUUCUUUUUUUUUUUGAUAGGGUCAUGCUCUGUCACCCAGUUUAUAGUGCAGCAGCACAAUCAUAGCUCACUGCAGCUUUGACCUCUGAGUAUCUUUUCUCAGAGUCAAACGUAGACAGAUUGAAGCCCUUAGAUAGUAACUAUGAGAUGGCCACCCUCCCACCCCUGUAAGCAUUUUGAGCACUGCUAUAAAUGAUGUGGAAACCAUUGUUUUCAGAGGAUCUGCAAAAAGGAGAAGCUCCAACUUGGAGAAGUUAGUACUCGAUAAAGCAGUAUUGUUGCUGACCUCGCUAAGGCUGUGUCCAGCAACCAAGACCUCAGCUAGAAGUGGAGGUGUUGUGAGCUAUAAUAAAAUGCUUAGGCACUCAGAGGAAAAAUUACAAGUACCAAUGAUGGCUUUCAUUAACAGCCAAAGAAUCACAUGAUGAAAAGUUAAAAGAAGCACAGCUUACCUGGAGGAAUCAUCUACUACCUUUCCUUCUGUUUAACUCGUUUUUUUUAACCUGACAAAACAGAGGUUCAGAUCAUAGGCAUAAUUCAGGUCCUGUAAUUUGGAGUGUUAUGGAGACAAAGUAACUGAGAUUGCUUUGGCAUUAUCACUCCCAAUUUAACCACUCUGUAAACAUUUUAUAAUACAGAUGAGCUCAGGGAAGGGCCAGGGUAGAGGUGAGACUUGGGGAUAAAGAGAACAGAAAGUAGUAAUCUCUUGAAGUAAAACAGAAACCUCUGGCUUCCGACUUAACUGGAUGUUGGAUGAGUCUCAUGCUGAACCAACAGAAGCUGAGCCACUUGCAACUUUGCAGCUUCUCCUGAACUCUGGUCUUUGGCCAACUUCCUGAAAUAAUCAAACCAUCCUUGGCACAUAGUUAAAACUAUUUCCUUUGAUGCCUCACUGUAUCUUUUCAAAAAGGUUUAGAAAAGAGGCAUGGCCUUUAGCUGAAUAGUUGUUUGUUUCAGAGGAUAUUGACCUACUGCAUCUGAUCAGGAAUUAGUUUAUCCUAUAUUCCUAUUACCACUCAUUACAAUAACCUAGUGUUAAGGGACUUAGCAUGAUGAGGGAGUGAGGUAGUUGUAAAUAUGUAUUUUAAAUAUAGACUUUGUCCUUACAUUUGGAUUCUCAUCUAUCCCCUAGAGUCUUUAAGGAAAUACAGCUUCUCCAAUACUUUCUCAAACAGUUGUUGAGAAUCAUUCUUUGCAGUGAGAAAUAUUACUGAUGUGGAUCCAGAAAACAGUCUGAUAGCCACUGCAGUAGGGGUAUGAGGAGGAGGUGGUGGUUGUGUGUGCUCUCAGCUCAGUUAUCUGCUUAGCCUGGACUGUAAACUCAAGCUCAUGUGCAACACAACCUUGCACCUCAAAAAUACCUGGGACAGUUGCUCAGUGAGUGGUGGUACAUUUAACUUCCUUCCAAUUUGGAUUUUCUCAUCUGGAAAUAUGGAGCAAGUAUGACAAACACUGAAUGCACAUCCUUCAGGCUGCCUUACCAUUUCGGUGUUUUCCAGACAUCUCCCAUCUGCCCGCAUUUGCAUCUCGGUGCUUGAGGACCUUACCUGGACCCCUGGAGGGUCACAAGGUUUUAAGAUACAUGGCAGUAAAGAAGCGCUGGAAAAUUAACUGCUCUGUCCCCCAGGAACAUCCCUCAACCAAUGAAUGGUGGGAUUUGACAUACAAAUAUCCCAACAACCUCAUCCCUUGGGUGGAAUAAUUCUGAGGUGUGUGUCUUAUACUGUUUCCCAGAGUUUCUCUGCAGGAUUAAGCUAUAGUUGUCCUCUGUAGUUGGCUUAAUAAUUCACAUUUUAUUGGCUGUCUUCUGUUCCCUGACUUGCUUACUCACUCUCUUGCUGGUAUUUCCUUGGAUUAUCUCCCAAACAAACUACUUGUUCUCAAAUCCUUGUUUCAAAGUCAGCUUCUGGAAGACCCCAAACUAAGACUCCAGUAUAAGUUAGCAUCAUUAAACACACAUUGCUGGAGAGCUGCUAAGGGAGAGAGAUACUUUCUCCUCUUCUUACUUCUCCCUCCUCACAUCCAAGGCAGUGGGGCUUGUGCUGAGAUCUGUGAGCUGUACUGGACGUUCUCUCCCCCAUGUAAUCUCUGCCCUGUGAAGACAGACCUUAGGGAGGCUUUUCCUCUUUGUUAUACUUCAGGCACCAUACUCAUCACAUGACCCAGCAAUUGCCAGGCCUUUGCAGUCUCGAGAUGGCCUUUUCACAUGUUAACCCUCACAACAACCCCAAAGACAGGUCUUAUAGGUCCCUAUUCAGUAGGUAAGGAAACUAAAGUUCCAAUGUUUUCCCAGGAUCACUUGGUGGUAUAUCCCUGCAGGCCAACUGGAAUUUGAAGCAAGUGACACAAGCUGGAGACUCUUAUUUUCUCUACAUGGACUGAAGUUUCAGUAAAGACUCAGUAAACACAGUAGAUUUUUCUGCGUUUGGGUUUUGAAAGGUCACUGGACCAGGCCAGAAAAGAGGAAGCAGAGAACACAUCAAUUCUCAGAGUGUUCAGAUAUGUGGGAUUCUUCCAAGUUCUCUCUGGACUGGGUCUAUUGCCCCACAGAACAUAGAUGGCAUCCUGAAUAAGAUCAGGUCUUCCAAAGCAGACUCGGGGUUGGAAUUUUUGCUCCAUCAUUACCAGCCAUGCUACUUUGGGUGAAUUACUUAAGCAGUCUGAACCUUAGCUUCCUCAUCUAUAAAACAGAGAUAAUAUUUCUCAUGGGGCUGCUGUGAGGAUAAAAUUAGAUUAUGUACCCAAAACUCUUCAUACAGAAAAGCUUUCCCCCCUGGAUCUCUCAUGCACUCCCUGGAUUUUCUAGGGGAGUCUGGCUUCUCCAAUACCUCCUUAAACAGCUGUUGAGAAUCACUGUUUCUAAUGAGAAAUAUUAUGACUGUGGAGCCAGAAAAAAUCUGACAGCCUUUGCAGCAGGGGAUGAGGAGGAGGUGGUUGUGUGUGUCCUCAGCUCAGUGGUAGGUGCCUGGCAUGUAGUAGGAACAAAAAAGAAAAGAGAAAAAGUAGCUAUUAUUAGAAUAGUAUUCAUAACUUCAUUUUUUUGGCAUAAAUUAACAAUUUAACAAAAAACAGACAUUAUUUUUGUUGGUGCUUUACCAGAAACAUUGCUGUUUUCUAAUUGCUUCUGGUAGUAGUUUGUUAUUAUUUUUUUCUUUUUGGUUUAUUUUGCGUAAAAGGACUAAGUGAGAUGGGUCUUUGCAAUGUUUUUUCUUUCCCACUGACUAGCUGGUCAAUGCUCCUUUGAACCCCAGCCCACCCCCCUGACAAAAAAAGGAAAAAGAACAAAUUGAGAACUUAUAAAACCACAACCGAGAGACCUGAAUGUUUUUCAUUUUAGCUUUUCUUGGAAAAACUUGAUGAAAAGCCUGUGCUGUGGUUUUAAAUGGCAUUGGGAUGCCCAUCUCCUAUCCCUACCCCUAAGCUCCUGAACGUGACUUAUAUUUCCCUAUUUAAAGCUUCUGCAGAUUUAUGAGACUUUAAACACCAUGGUUGGAGUUACUGGAGGUUUAAAGGGAUUAGGCAGGUCCAGCAGCACCUGGAGGUGUAUAAGUUGUUUAAAGGAUCUAUCCGAUUUUGCAUGUUAAAAUUCCCUUCUCAAGGAUUCUCAUAUCCUGGAUCUGAAUCUAUUUUGGGCAGAGGAGUACAUUUUUAGGAGGUCUCAUAAAUGGAGAAAAAAACCCUCCCUCAAUUGCUUCUUGCUUUGUUUUUCGGGCUAUGCCUCUGCCCCCUCACCUCUCUAUCUUGCAUGUCUAGGUAGUUCUGACUCUGGGGUUUCCCUUCUCUCUGUUCUGUCCUUUCUCAAGCAGUUGAUCUCUUGGUGUUCCUCUGUGUUCACAAACUCAGCCUCUGACCCAUGAGCCUAACAGCAGCCAGAGACAACUGAAGCUUUCUUGCCUGCCCUUGGCUCCUUUCAGUCUAGGGAGGGGCACGGUGGGUGGGAAUGCCUCAUGACACAGGGUGACAAAUCUCUGUGUUUACACCAGAGGGAGCAAUGACUCCAUGGCUGAGAGGGGCUGGCUAGAGUCUGGAGUUUCCAAAUGUCCAUUCAAGGCAAAACACACACAAUUCCUGGGCAGUUAAACUUAGGGGACUCUGUAUUGAAUGACCUUGAAAAUAGGUUCAGGGCACAACAUGGGCACACACACUUUGUCAUAUUCUACAGACACUGGCAAGAGCCAACAUUCUUCUCAUUGCCAAUAAUUAUGCUCACCAGCCUCCACGUCUUGCCUCUCACGUCUCUUCCACGUACCAGCUCUGCCCACCCUGUUAAAUCAGGGUAGAUGUAGGGAAUGUGAGCACAUUUUAAUAUCAGCCUGAACCAGACAUCACUGGGAAGGAAAUUGGAGAAACCAUUCCAAAGUCAAGUAAAAAUAACUUUUGUGAAUACAUUCUCAUGGUUCCAUUUAUGUGACAUCCUAGAAAAGACAAAUCUAAUCUAUAGUGACAGAAAGCAGACUAGUGGUUGCUAGGGGCCAAGGUAGCGGCAGAUUGGCAGAGAUGGCACAAGAAGACUUUUUGUGAUGUUGCAAGUAUGCUAUGCCUUGAUUGUUGUGAUGGUUGCACAGGUAUAUAAAGUUAUAAACACUCACUAAAAUGUACAAUGAAAAUGGGCGUGAACUAUACCUUGGUUUUUAAAUGUCUCUGUUGUACAUCCACCCCACCCUUUACCUCCAUUAGCACAGACGAUAGGGAGCUGUGUGUGAAUCUUAGAACACUUCCCAGUCCAGGGGUGGUUGUUCAACCAGCCUAUGCUGUGUAUCCAUAGAGGGCACAGAUAACGCAAAGCAGCAGAUAAAACACCUAAUUAGUUAUAAUUGACUCUGGACUUUUUCUGUGCAUUUGCAUUCCUGAAUACAACCUGACUGACAGGAGCAGGGAGAGUAGGCAGCCAAAAACCGUGGCAGGGGAGGCCAGAUCAAACAAUUACAAGGAAGGAACAACAAAAGGUGACUGACCUCACAGAUGAUAAAGAAUUGUUGACUCUGUAAUGUGAACUGCAUAUCGCGCAAAGCAAUUGGUGAGGUGGAGCAGGUGCACAUUAGAAAUCAAACCAACCACAUGGAAUAGUCAAGGCUUCUGAAUGACAGGAGAGCUUCAUCAUCUCCAUCUUUUCCACAUCUCUAAUUAAAAUGUGGAUAUUACUUAAGUCAGGCACACUGCUCUAUUGAUUCCGACAUCCAACUAUCCAUUUUAAAGUUGGCUAGGCUCACCCAGAGGAUGAUAUGAAUAGAUUCAGAGAUGGAGUGAGGGUUUAGAACACUGGAUUUUUGUCCCUGUUUGUGUGACCUUCUGGAAAAUCACUUGUUUCCUUUAUUUGUUCCUUUAUUCCCUUAUUCAAUAAAAUUAUUAAGGACCUAUUAUAAACCAGGCAGUUGGCAAGACAUUGAUGAUAUAUCAUUGUAGGCUUCAUUUUCAUCAUCUGUAAAUGCUCAUUCUGGGAUCCAUGGAUUAUCUUGACCACUGUGCUAACGGUGGAUAGUGAUGGGGCCAGGCUCUGAGACCUUCAGUGCUGUGCCUCAGUGUUGAGCCUGUCUCAAUAUAAAAGGUAAGAUUCUCCAACUUCCUUGGUCUGUAUCUUUUUAGAGUGGCUCCAGAUCACUUAAAGCAUCUUUGCCAUAAAAAUUUCAUGGAAAUGAAAUUAAGCAUUUUAGUUUCAUUUGUUGAAAACCGUUAAAAACCUCCUAAAACCAUCUUAAAAUUACAUUCUUAUUGCUUCAAGCUACAAGCUCACAUAGAGGUAUGAACUAACAUUUGAUCUAGGCAGUAAACCAGGGUUUUUGUCAGGCCUUUCUCCCUGAUUUGCACUGUUCCCUGGCACACCCACCCCCUCACUAAGCAAAAUUUAGAAGUCAACAGACACAAAAUUGCUUCUCCCUUGAAAUCAUCCGCACACUUAUUUUCAAGCAUUCAAGAUGUACAGGCUCUUUUCAAGCAUACAAGAUCUGUUCCCUUCCAGGUCAUCAAAUCAACUCUCAGAAAAGAGUCUGAUAGAGUGAGAUUCAAUUUCUACCCCAUCCAUUUAUAAUGUGUGACCAAGGAAAGAUCCCUAAUUUCUUUGUCCCUCAGUUUCUUCAUCCGGAAGUGGGUAUAACAGUAUCUACUUUGAGUUGUUGUGCAGGUUAAAUAAAACGAACACCAAAUGGAUAUAAAAAUGCCUAGCCAAUAGUAGAAAAGCAAUGGUGGCUAUUAUGAAAGCCUAGCAGAGGUGAAGGCUGGAGAUUAAAGAGGAAAGUCUGUGGUAGAGUAAGAAGCACUCCACUUAUUCUUGGAAUGAGGAAUGAGGACCUACCUUCAGUCUUUGUUGAGUAGGUGACUCCUAUGGAAGGGCAGGAUCUUCAGAUUAUUAAGCUCAGAGGUAGGUAUUAUCUACCCGGGAGGACUGGCAUUCUAAAAGGGGAAAUAUGUCAUUCAUAUGUUAAAAAUGGGAGGGCCCAGCACCCAGCUAUAGGAAGAAUGAAUAUGGAAGAAUGGUGAAGAAAAAGCUCCAACCAGCUGUAGUGGCCUUAUCAGCAGAUGCCACCUUCAGAUUACCUCCACAUUCCCCUAGGAAAAGUUGACAUCUCCUGGUCCUUUCCAAAGAAGGCACAGUCCCACCAACAGAUGAAAAUUAGUAUCACAAAGAGGGCUGAGAACCUGAAGAUGGAGCAUGCCUGCUGAUCCAAGACCAACAGACAACUGGCUCAGGCGGUGAUUAAAGUUGGUUGGAAUUCACAGCCAGUAGAACAAUGACCCCAAUAACGAACUGAACUUCAGCUAACCCUCCUGUUUCAAAGUCCGUCUUCUUCCCUCAACACGCACAGACAACUGUACUAUGGAGAUUUAUGGUGUCGGCACCUGGAAGUGUUGGAUUUCCUUGAUUGCUGUUUAAUAAACUCUAACAUGUAUGAUUUGAACAUGUAGGAUACAAAUUUACUUUUAUAUGCUAGGAACCCCAAAUAAAAACCAACCAACAAUAUUGUAGAGCAGCGACAACAUCUAUCAUUUUUACUGCUUUAUAUGAAGCAUGAAGCACGGAGCUUCCUGAGUGUCUAACCAUCCUGGUUUGCCUGGAACUCUCCUGGUUUUAGCCAUGAAAAUUUCUGUGUCUCAGGAAACUGCUCAGUCACAGAUAACCUGAGAUGACUGGUCACCUGGACUUGGCACAUAACAGAUAGUCAAUAAAUUUUUGCCAACCAAAACAAAUGCAUUAAAUAAGCAAUAGACGUGUAACUGGAAUUACACGGCAAUAAGCUAUAUUAUCUACUUUGGAUAUGAAUCCGCUUCUAAUAGAUACUGGUUCGAAGUUGAGUUUGAUGAAACCAGCAUACUAAUUUGAUGAUAUAUAGACCAGUUUUCGACUUUCUAUACCUUCUCAUUUCUGCUCCUUUUUUUGACCUUAGUGUGUAUAUCUGGGCAAUUAGCAACAGGGCCACACAGUUUCAUACUGUCAAAACAUAGUCAAACAUGACUAAGAUUUCUCAAGUUUAUUUUCCUAAUUAUUAACUUUCCCAUCCCAUCUACAUAGAAGCCGGGUGUUUUAAUAUGAUCCAUAACAUACACUUGGUAAGGAAGGAAUAUUUGUGCAAUCAAAGAAAUUCAACAAUCCUUUACUGAGUGACUGCCCUGGGCACUGUGCCGGGUGUUGCAGGGCAUUCAAAA